AUGCAGUUCAGGCCAGAUCACAAGGAAACACAGCCUUCUCUUCUUCUCCUGUAAAACUCCAAUCCUGCUUUGUUCGGGGGGAGUUACCUGGUUUUCAGGUUCUCUCUCAUGUGUGUCAACUAAUAAAUACUGUCCUUUAUUUGAAUCACUUAAACUAUUUGCUUACUUCAUUUCAUGUCUUGGGGUUUGAAAAAAAAAAUGUACUUGGGAAUAGAAUGCCUUGUUUUUGCCAGAACACAAAAAUGUCAUCAGGAAACCCCUACGUGUUGCUUAUAAAAGCAUGUAUAAAAGCUACGGCAAUCUCAUCAUCAAAACCCCUAAAAUCAGGUGCCACUUAAUAAAAUGUACUAAAAGAUAGCUGUAAAAUAAAAAAUUGUCAUUGGAUAGUAUAUGCUUAUUUUUUAUUAAUUGUAAUGCAUUUGGGAUAGUUGAUACAGGUGGCAAAUGUAGUUUCUAUGAAGUAUAUCUUGAAUUUUUAUCUAUGUAGGCAGGAAUGGGUACAUUUUGGGAAUUGUGAGUAAACAAAAUAUUUCUGGGAGAAGAAAGGAUUUUAUUAAGAAUAGGAAGGACUGAGGGAACCUGGUGCUCAUACACAAUAGACACGUGGAGAAAGAAUUCCAGAGAGUGCAUCAAGAUGAUGGACCAAUCAGAGGACCCAAGGGGAAAGCAGACUGCACAUGCUAGAUUCACAUCUCAUGAAUUACAAAAACCCUGGAUAAGGCUUCUCAUCAUAAGAAGAUGUGAACAAAACAUACUCAAAUUUCCAAAAAUGUUAAGAGACUCUAUCAAAAUUAUGAAUGAACUUGGGAAGAUAAUGGGUUUUGCACUGUGGCCCAGGUACAAAAAAGCCAGUUUUUUCUUUUGGCAGGGAGGGGCUGGGAAGGUUGUUAAAGAGAUGAGCUUGAAAAGUUCCAUUUGCAAGUGAGAGAUGAUUGUAAAGAGAAGGACCUGUGUGCCCUCACCUAGGUUGGAAAGAGCUCAGACAUAACCAGAUCUUGUGCCAUGACCAAAAAUCGGUUAUUUAUACUCCAAAAUCCAUCAUCUUACAUCUUUGUGAGAUUAUAUAUUCUUUUUGAGUGUGGUAAGAUUGCUAUAACCCUGGGAGGUAUAAUAUAAACAUAAUAAAAAGUGAAGAAAUAAAUCAAUAUCAUAAUAUCACUUUUGUAUUAGGGUAAGAACUAUAAAAAUAAAUUUUGAAACCAUUAUAAUACCCUGUAAUGCCUGUUUCCAAGGUGACAAUCAAUUAAAAAUUUCUCAAAUUAAAUUUGAUUUUAUUGAAAAGUUUUGUAGAAUUUGAUUAAUUACAUUUAGAAUCAAGAUUUAAAUACUUAAGAGAAUUCACACAAUGUGUACAUGUUUAUAUGUUGGUGAUGUUUAAGGGUUUAGAAACACUGUAACAAAUAGAUUUGUAGAUUUUAACAAACUGAAUGUUAAAUAGUCAAGCCAGAAGUAGAAGUAUGCUUCAUGUUCAGGUUUGAAAGUUUCAUAAAACAAAAGCUGACGUUCAACACCGCAAAAUAUAUAGUGAAGGAAUAACAUGAAGAAGUCUCCUUGUAGUGGUGGGACAAUCUGUAUCCUGAUUAUGCUGAUAGUUAUGUGGAUCCACAUACUUAAAAUUUCAUAGUGCUAUAAACUCCUCCAAAAUAAAUGAUUUAAGAUGAGAGUGUGUAAAACAUGAUGCAAUUCAAAUUCGGUCUGUACCUAAGUUAAUUUUACGAUAUAGACGUCAAUGUUCUGGUUUUGACACAUUCUAUGUAUUACGUAAGAUAUUAUCAUUGGAGGAAGCUGGGUGAUGGGUACGUGGAAAUUCUCCAUACUAUUUUCGAGAUUUAUUGAGAAUAUUAAGCUAUUUCAAACCAAAACUCUUUUUAAGAAUAUAUAUGUAGAUAUUAGUUAUUGUAAAAAGAAUAGGCAUAGGCCACCUUAGUGCUGCAGACAGGUGGGUCAGCAGAGCCUGUGUCAGCUUCCCACUGUCCCUUUGCCUCAACUGGAUGUUCUGCCUGUGAACUCAGGUAUUGGUAUGACAGGAGGUAGAUCUUGAUGAGUCUGCCAUGGCAGCUUAUUGUUUCUUAUUAUCAUUAAUAUUCUUGUAGGAUUAAAUGCAACAGGAAACAGCUAUGAGCCUCAGCACCACAAAAACAAUCAUACACAAUCUUUCUUCCCACUAGAUGAUGCCUCCCUGAAAAUUAAUCUUCAGGCAUCCCUUUAGAUCAUUUCUGCCCGCACAAAAGGUUUUUGGAUGUUAAAGAUGCCACUCUCCCAUUUAAAAACCACCUAGUUGGAGCUCCCGUCGUGGCUCAAUGGAAACGAAUCGGACUACCAUCCAUGAGGAUGCAGAUUCGACCCCUGGCCUUGCUCAGUGGGUUAAGGAUCUGGUGCUGCCAUGAGCUGUGGUCUAGGUCGAAGAUGCAACUCGGAUUUGAAGUUGCCGUGGUGUAGGCCAGUGGCUACAGCUCUGAUUCGACCCCUAGCCUGGGAACCAUAAGCUGUGGGAGCGAGCCUAAUACAUAACUGGUGCUCAAUAAAUAUUUUUGAAUGAAUGAAGAAAAGCUCCUAUUGUUGGUGCUUAUUCUGAGAAGUACAAAUAAGGGUGAUCAGACUUAUACUGUACUUAUAUUUCAGGGCAAUUUGAUAUUCUUAAAUCAAGCAUAAGCUAAUUUUGCAACUAAGUUUAAGAAAACAUACAUCCGCAAACACACAUUUAUGCCUGGAACAACAGAUCACUACAAAGGUCUUGAUAGCUUUAACAUUCUAUGAUCCUAGACUUUCCAAAUUGUUCUCACCAGAUUAAGGAAGGGCACAUGGCACAGUUUAGCUCUAAAUGGUAAGGUAUCAAGGGAGAAUCAAUGGAUUCCAUUUUGCAAUUAUGAAUACACAAAUUAACACAUGCACCUGUGUUCUCACCCUAAUUCCUAUAAAGGAUGGGUCAAGGACAUCAAUUACCUCUAAACACCAGUUAUGCUGGGAGAAAACAGAGGCAAUAGCAUUUCGGAAGGUGGAGGUGUGUAUUGAGGGAGUGGGAUGGCUCUUUGCAGAUUGAUUCUUUCCUUCUCCAUCUGGUCUCUAUGUAUGGAGAAGCAGAAUCUGUGCCCCCAUAUCUUGGCCUUCACUUUGAGCAUUAUCACUGUUAUGUGUGAGUGAGCUGAGGUAGGAAGGGAUCAUUAAAUUUUUGGUAUGCCCUUUCCUUUUCCAUAAAGUAUUUAGGCAUCCCACAAAAAUACAAAAGAUAUAUCAAGACAAGUCUAAAGCAGAAGACAAAGAAAGGGCCAAAGAGGCGUGAAUGUGAAAUGGAAGCAGAAGUGAGGGCUAAAUAAAACCAUGCCUCUCAGAGACCUACCCUCUUUGCAAAUGGGGUGCAAACAUUGGCUGGAACCUUUCACAGUUCUAGUAUAUAAAGGGAAACUGAAUCAAUGACACUUAUUGCAAUACUUCUAACAUAAGAUAAAUCAAAUCAAUUGCUUUGUCAAUUGAGAGCCAUUCCCCAUAGCAAAGUAGAAAGGUUUUCUGAAAGUUUCUAUAAAGAAGAUGUUAUUCUUAAUCUCCUUGCGGUGAUGUUUAACUUGAUUUCUUUUAAUAUAGGGCAAUGGCAUAAGUCCAAGAUGCAAUUAGGUUGAAACAAUUAUCUGGUGAUGGGAGAGAUGGUGGAGUGUGAAGUGGGGGUGGAGGCUGUGAAUGACACUUUAAUAUAAAUAUAUGUGCCUUUAGCAUAAUCAUAUACAUUUUCUUCAGUCAUUCCAAGAUGAAAAUUGGCAAGCAUACUUUUUUUUUUCUGUACCAAAUUAGAAUCUGCCCCAGGACUAAGGGAAACAGAGCUGGGAGACUGAUCGUUAAAAGCCAGUAAAAGUCAUUAUUUCUGCCUCACUGGUCAGGCAUAUUUUGGGCAAAUGAGUCAGCAUGAGAGGGAUGUUGGGGCUAGACUUUAUCAGAAGUUACAUAAAUUUUUCCAGAGUGACUAAAGCUGUUCUGGCUAGUUAUUUAAAGCUUUGGGGAGGAGAAGGACUGAGGAGGUGGGGAGGAACUGAACUUACUUUGUGACUGGGGCAGCUUUGAUUGGGCAACUUCUCUGUUCUAGCUUUCUGUGAAAUGCCCCCUUUCCGGGGUUUAAUAUCACUGUCUUAAGUAUAAGUUGCUCAAGUUGGCCAAAACCCACGAAUUCCCAACUCUGGAAUAUCUGACAAAGGUUCCAGCCUGUGAAUGCAUUCUUCCAUGUCAGAUCAGUUGUUCAGUGCAUUUGCUGGCCCUUAGAGGUAAGGCUAUCUCAGUGACUCAUUUUGAUUCUUCAGGCAAUAACUAAGUACAUGCUAUGUACUCGAUAUGUAUGCGGUUCUUAAGGAGAUGACUGAGAUCAAAACGUAUGUUCUGUCCUCAAGAAGCUCAUGAUAAAGUGGCAAAGACAGGCCUGAAGAUAAUGCUAAGAGUGCCAAGAAUGUGAUCAUAACAGAACCAGUGCAUGGUUUCUGGAGCCAGAAGAGAAGAGAAUGGACUUUUAGGAAAGGCUUUCAUGUGUCUCUUUUGUUGAGGCAUCUACCAUGUAGCAAUGCUCAAAAUUUAGCACACAGCUAGACGGAUGAAUUAAGAGGAGUAGUGUUAACUGGACAAGAAAGACUGAGGUAUGAAGAGCUGGGGAUGCGUAGAAAAGACGUCCAAGGUCAGAAAGCUACAUGGAGGCAUGAAAAAGUACAGUGAGUAAUAGAGUUGGAUGAAUUUAGAUAAAGAAUAGCCUGGAACAUUGUUGACACCCAGAUAAACCUGUUAGUUUUAAAAGGAACACUCUCCUGUACUUUAGUAUUCUAAAGAGCGAGUUUUAGAGCACAUAGAAACCCUUGGAGAUGAAGGCAGACAAACACUGUUCUAAGAUUAAGCUUGGCUAAUCUAAGUCAUGUACUAUUGGGAUGUGAAUGAUAUGGCAUAAAGCCAGGAUUUUCUAAGGAAGACGCAAUUAUACCUGCUAGGUCUCCCUUCUCACUGCUGCCUACCUUCCGUAGGCACAGCCCUUGGGGAAUAAAGGUAAUAUGCUCUAUGAGCAGAGGGUUGGUACACUAAAUGGGGAUAACUGAGGAGAGCUUAAUGAAGAGAGUAUAAAAUUGUGGGUAGGGUUAGAGGAAACCAGCAAAGGAUGGUGAGGGUGUGGGGGUCUUAAGACCAUUUGGAAGCCAUUACUGCUCUUAGGACCAAACAGGCAAGGGAAUGGAGUGGUUGUCAAAACCCAGAAGGAGCUGUGGCUCUGGGUGAAGGAAGGAGCAGGUCACCAACAGGAACUGUGGCCUCCUAUGGAGGAACCCCCUGCCCACCUGUGACCAAGGAGGGAGCUGAGGAAUGAACCCCCCAGACCUCUCUCCUCUCAGUUUCCUUGUGGUCCUUCCUCACGUGCAAAAGUCUUCCCCAACCGGAAGCCAGAGUGCAAAGAUGCCUGUGGCACAGUCCCUAGUGGUCAGCCUCCUGGCAGAGCAGGCAGAGAAACAUGGAGAAGGACUAUGGAGAAGAACUCAGAGCCAAUUCAGCCCACACGGAGAAGACUGAAGCUCAUCUUCCUCAGAGGAUCUCAGGGGACCCACAUGACACCUGUGAUUAUCAUGGCAUGGCGAGGAAGAAAUACAGACACCUCUGCAGAUUUAAAGGGUCCAACUCUCCCAUAUUUCAAUAGGCUGGGCUUUCCAUGAUACAGAAUUAUCUGCAAGCUCCAGCUAACUCAUUCUCCACUCUAAGCACUCCUAUCCCAAAGGGGUCAGGGCUAUCAUUACUUUCUCAAAUGUUGGUGA
rnacentral:lncRNA from 1 species